GAUGAAGAACGUAGCUAAAUGCGAUAAGUAAUGUGAAUUGCAGAAUUCAGUGAAUCAUCGAAUCUUUGAACGCACCUUGCGCCCUUUGGCUAUUCCGAAGGGCAUGCCUGUUUGAGUAUCAUGAACACCUCAACCCUCAUGGUUUGCCAUGAUGGGCUUGGACUUUGGGGGUCUUGCUGGAUUGUAGUCAGCUCCCCUUAAAUGAAUCAGCUUGCCAGUGUUUGGUGGCAUCACAGGUGUGAUAAAUAUCUACGCUUGUGGUUUUACAUCAGAUAACCUUCAGUGAUGGAGGUUCACUGGAGCUCAUAAAGGUGUCUCUCCUCUGUGAGGACAGCUCUUUGAAUGUUUGAUCUCAAAUCAGGCAGGACUACCCGCUGAACUUAAGCAUAUCAAUAAGCGGAGGA
rnacentral:misc_RNA from 1 species